rnacentral:rRNA from 1 species
AAAAUAAUGAUGGAGAGUUUGAUCCUGGCUCAGAACGAACGCUGGCGGCGCGUCUUAACCAUGCAAGUCGAGCGGCAGGCAGCAAUGCCGAGAGCGGCGGACUGGUGAGUAACACGUGGAUAACGUACCC